rnacentral:misc_RNA from 1 species
GGGCUUCACUGAUAAAGUGGAGAACCGCUUCACCAAAAGCUGUCCCUUAGGGGAUUAGAACUUGAGUGAAGGUGGGCUGCUUGCAUCAGCCUAAUGUCGAGAAGUGCUUUCUUCGGAAAGUAACCCUCGAAACAAAUUCAUUUUUCCUCUCCAAUUCUGCACAAGAAAGUUGCAGAACCCGAAUAGACGAAUGAAGGAAUGCAACAGUUGACCCAACGUCGCCGG